UCCGGUUUGACACCGGCAGUCUCGCUAGAGUCCUCGCCAUGACGCGUUAGCAACUAGCGAUAGGGGUUGCGCUCGUUAAGGGACUUAACCCGACACUUCACAGCACGAGCUGACGACAACCAUGCAGCACCUGUUCACGUUCCACCCUUGCGGGUGUGGCUCCCGUUUCCGGGAGUUAAUCCGUGUAUGUCAAACCCAGGUAAGGUCCUUCGCGUUGCUUCGAAUUAAGCAACAUGCUCCACCGCUUGUGUGAGCCCCCGUCAAUUCCUUUUAGUUUUAGCCUUGCGACCGUACUCCCCAGGCGGCGCACUUAGCAAUUUCUCUACGACCAAUACGACGUCAGAGCCGCAUCGGUCUAGUGCGCAUCGUUUAGGGCGUGGACUAC
rnacentral:misc_RNA from 1 species